ACGAAGAAGAAGAAGACGGCGUUAGACAAUUCUCCUAACUCCGAAUCAACUGGAAGAUUUAAGCCUUAGAAUUCUUAGAUUAAACAAAAUAAAUUGGAGAAUUAAACAGAAAAAUCUCGCAUGCAUACUCUAGUCUCUCAGUGCGCUCAGUGAAUUUAGAUGAUUUAGACUACAGACGGUGUUAUGAACAGAUACGCAAAGAGUGAGGUCGAAAACUCCAAGUGAACCGUCAAAUCGAGGCUCCAAGUGUGCAAAGUAAACAAACUCAUGCGUGUUACUUUUCGUACAGAAUGUGUGUUGCGAUCAGUUUAAAUUCUGUGAAUCACGUGCAAUUAUGGUUCCAACGAAAAAUGUGUUCGUCAUGCUCAUGUUCAAAUAUUGUAGGUUAUGUUUCUUAUUGGAAACAAAAACCGCAACUCAAUGUUUUUGUUACAAAUUCGUAAAAAAAUUGCAGUAAUAAUGGAGAAAAACGUCCUCAAGUUUAAAAACACCAUAGACACAUUACAAAAAAUGACAAAUCGAACUUUGGAACUUCGGGUUAAGGCGUGUCGUCUAACUACGAGCAUUAUACUGACUAACAAUAGUGCGUAUCUGGAAGAAAUCAACCGCUUUCGAGAGGAAAAGCAUUUUUUGAUGAAUACACAAGGUGACCGGCCAACGAGGGAAACAAUAACAACAUCAGGAAGGAUUACUGAAUCAGAAAAUUUUUAAUUUUUCUUUUCAUCUGCUUUUUGUUUUCCGUAUUUUUUCUUUUAAUUACAAAUUAAUAAAUAUUAUACAGGCUGUCCACUCAUCGUAACGUAA